rnacentral:rRNA from 1 species
CAGCAGCCGCGGUAAUACGAAGGGUGCAAGCGUUACUCGGAAUUACUGGGCGUAAAGCGUGCGUAGGUGGUUUGUUAAGUCUGUCGUGAAAUCCCCGGGCUCAACCUGGGAAUGGCAAUGGAUACUGGCAAGCUAGAGUGAGGUAGAGGAGAGUGGAAUUCCCGGUGUAGCAGUGAAAUGCGUAGAGAUCGGGAGGAACACCAAUGGCGAAAGCAGGUAACUGGACUAUUACUGACGCUAAGCUGCGAAAGCUAGGGGAGCAAACAGGAUUAGAUACCCUGGUAGUCCUAGCCGUAAACGAUGCACAUUAGACGUGAGGGGUAUCGACCCCCUUCGUGUCGACGCUAACGCAUUAAAUGUGCCGCCUGGGGAGUACGGCCGCAAGGUUGAAACUCAAAGGAAUUGACGG